GACUAGAGCUAAUAUGCAUUUUAAGUGAGGUCAUCACCCUGUCCAUUUAGAAAUAAUACAGAUAAACCUGAAAAGAGUGACAAAGGUGAUGUUUCUCCCAGUGAGAAGUAUAUCUAUUUAGCUUAUUAGUGAGCAACUUGAAAGGAUAACAUUUCAUCUUCUAGAGAAAUCCUGGUGAAAACGUUUAUUCUACUAGGGGGUUACUUAAUUUAGCAGACAGGCAUAAAAUGUUCUAAUGACUGAAGGCUUCAAUCUGAUAUAUUAAGACUGGAAAAGAGACAUGAUUUUAAAAGGGUCAGAAUAAUUAACCCUGAGAACAAUUUGCACAGGUAUUCGGUAGGUUCUCCUUCACAUAAAAUUUUUAAAUAGCAUUUACAUGUGUUUCUGAAAGCUAAAUUGUAGCUAACAGAAGAUUAUGGAUUCCAUAGCAAUGUGUGUCUGCACAAUGAGCUAAACUUAGGCCUCUCCCACCACCCAGAACAUCCAUCCCUCAAUCUAGACACCUGUAGCUUGAAAUCUUAUGGAGAUCAGGGAUAAGGAUCUUAUGGAUCCUUAGGGUCCAGGAAAAUCAAGGCCUCCAAGGUGAGGUUUUCUUUCAUGCAAGGAU